rnacentral:miRNA from 1 species
UCAUCCAUCUCUGAAAUUAGAC